ensembl:lncRNA
CAGAGCAGCCGGGCUAAAACUUUGUUAUUAAUCUCUUGUUAAAUUAAUCUCUCACAAGUUAUUUUUUUUAAAAAAGAAAAAAAAGGACAACAACUUUAAACUGAUAUUGUUCACAAAGUAUGGUUUUGCACUUGUUGUCAUAGAGGACAGAGCGAAGCCGGAAACGCUGAGCAUCCACUCGACAGCGUGAACUGAGGAUCUACCAGCGGCCGUGGGACCUUAGGUGGCGGGUCGUUUUCCACACUUUUGUUGUACAGCACCAGGUAAAGAGACUAUAGUUGUUUUUUUUGGUUUUUUUUGUGUGUGGUUUUCUUUUGGUCCACCGCUGCUGGUAAAUCCCAGUUGUAUGUUUAUUUUGUUGUAAUUUAGGACACUAUUUUAGACAGUCUUUGUUGUUUUGUUUUUAUUUUUUUAAUAAAUAAAAUGGUGUUAAUACAUUGAGCCGGCCUCAGUGUGCAUCCCUGAACCUGUGCAAACGUUCUUUUUAAUUACAUUUCAUUUCUAAAGUUCAUAUUUCCCGGGGGCUAGAAUUCCCCCAGGUGGCGUUGUCAUUUUAUUCUUUCUUUCAUAACCCCGCCGACCACUUGGUCACAUACUUGGCGUUGGUCGACAGGAUGCACAUUUGAGGUAGAUGUUUUAAAUUGUUUUAUUUUUUGCAAAGAUCACAGUUCACCUGUUUGAAGGCUCUAUUUGUUUUAGAGUGUGAUUAUAGACAAGACAGCAGUAUCCAGGUAGGAGGAAGAGUAAUAGGAUUUUAGCACCUUGCUGUUUUUUUUCCUUUUUUUUUUUUUUUUUGGUCAAAAUUUAUUAUGGAGGAAGAAUUGCAGCAACUUGGAGACUUGGUAGCGCAGUUAAAGGCAGAUAAUGAGCAAUUGCGCCGGGAUGGAGGCGCUGUUCUCGAGUCUGGUGGUGGUGCCGCGUCGGCCUCCUUCGCACCAGCUGGUUGCCAGUGUUGGGGAGUAACGGAAUACAUGUACCGCUGUUACGUAUUUAAAAUACAAAAUAUGAGUAACUGUAUUCCGUUACAGUUACAGUUUAAAAAGGUGGUAUUCAGAAUACAGUUACUUUGUCGAAAUAAAUGGAUUACACUGCGGUACUUUCCUGUUUCAUUUUGUCGCGGGUCAGGACUGUUUGGGUUUUGUUUGACAGCUACGUUCUGUUGUUCCAGGCGGCAGCAUUACGGUUGCCAUGGUUACAGGGCGACGCUCUC